AUCUCAGCCCGCAAGGGCCGCUGCGGAGGUGCUGCAUGGCUGUCGUCAGCUCGUGUCGUGAGAUGUUGGGUUAAGUCCCGCAACGAGCGCAACCCUUAUCGUCAGUUGCCACCGGGUCAAGCCGGGCACUCUGGCGAAACCGCCUCGGAUAACGGGGAGGAAGGUGGGGAUGACGUCAAGUCCUCAUGGCCUUUAUGUCCAGGGCUACACACGUGCUACAAUGGUCGGUACAAACCGUCGCAAACCCGCGAGGGGGAGCUAAUCGGAAAAAGCCGGCCUCAGUUCGGAUUGGAGUCUGCAACUCGACUCCAUGAAGCUGGAAUCGCUAGUAAUCGCAGAUCAGAACGCUGCGGUGAAUACGUUCCCGGGCCUUGUACACACCGCCCGUCACAUCACGAAAGUGGACCAUACUAGAAGCCGGUGGGCUAACCGCAAGGGAGCAGCCGUCCAAGGUAUAGUUCAUGAUUGGGGUGAAGUCGUAACAAGGUAACCGUAA
rnacentral:rRNA from 1 species